CGCUGUCGGUUCGCCGCCCGUCGGUGUCAACUGGCAUGUCCUGUGGAACGUCCUGCCGGUGGCGGACCGGGCUUUCGGCUUGCGUAAGGGCUUACGCUCGAAGCAGGCCGAACAGUACCGGCCGCCGGUCCAAUCCCGCCACGGUGCUCUUCACCGAGUGUCGAGGUGGGCCGGCACGUUUACUUUGAACAAAUUAGAGUGCUUAAAGCAGGCUGGUGUCCGCCUGAAUACUGUGUGCAUGGAAUAAUAGAAUAGGACCUCGGUUCUAUUUUGUUGGUUUUCGGAACCCGAGGUAAUGAUUAAUAGGGACAGGCGGGGGCAUUCGUAUUGCGACGUUAGAGGUGAAAUUCUUGGAUCGUCGCAAGACGAACCUAAGCGAAAGCAUUUGCCAAGUAUGUUCUCGUUAAUCAAGAACGAAAGUUAGAGGUUCGAAGGCGAUCAGAUACCGCCCUAGUUCUAACCAUAAACGAUGCCAGCCAGCGAUCCGCCGAAGUUCCUCCGAUGACUCGGCGGGCAGCUUCCGGGAAACCAAAGCUUUUGGGUUCCGGGGGAAGUAUGGUUGCAAAGCUGAAACUUAAAGGAAUUGACGGAAGGGCACCACCAGGAGUGGAGCCUGCGGCUUAAUUUGACUCAACACGGGAAACCUCACCAGGCCCGGACACCGGAAGGAUUGACAGAUUGAGAGCUCUUUCUUGAUUCGGUGGGUGGUGGUGCAUGGCCGUU
rnacentral:rRNA from 1 species